rnacentral:rRNA from 1 species
AAAUGAAUUGACGGGGGCCCGCACAAGCAGUGGAGUAUGUGGUUUAAUUCGACGCAACGCGAAGAACCUUACCAAGGCUUGACAUGUACAGGAACACUAUAGAAAUAUAGUGGCACUUCGGUGCCUGUAUGCAGGUGAUGCAUGGUUGUCGUCAGCUCGUGUCGUGAGAUGUUGGGUUAAGUCCCGCAACGAGCGCAACCCUCGUGACUAGUUGCCUCCAAGAGGAACUCUAGUUAGACUGCCGUAGUUAAUACGGAGGAAGGUGAGGAUGAUGUCAAAUCAUCACGUCCCUUAUGUCUUGGGCUACACACGUACUACAAUGACUACUACAAAGAGAAGCAAAACCGCGAGGUGGAGCAAAACUGAUAAAAGUAGUCUUAGUUCGGAUUGAAGGCUGCAACUCGCCUUCAUGAAGUCGGAAUUGCUAGUAAUCAUAGGUCAGCAUACUAUGGUGAAUACGUUCCCGGGCCUUGUACACACCGCCCGU